rnacentral:rRNA from 1 species
UCAUCGGCCUCAGAUUGGUAGG